rnacentral:rRNA from 1 species
AUUGAACGCUGGCGGCAGGCCUAACACAUGCAAGUCGAACGGAGUGGCGGACGGGUGAGUAAUGUAUGGGAAACUGCGCGAUGGAGGGGGAUAACUACUGGAAACGGUAUCUAAUAACGCAUACUCUCAGAUGCGCCUAGGUCGGUUUAGCUAGUUGGGGGGGUAACGCCCAACCAAGGCGACGAUCCGUAACUGGUCUGAGAGGAGGAUCAGUCACAGUGGAACUGGGAAACGGCCCAGACUCCUACGGGAGGCAGCGGUGGGGAAUAUUGGACAAUGGGCGAAAGCCUGUUCCAGCCAUGCCGCGUGUUUGAAGAAGUUCUUCGGAUGUUAAAUCCCUUUGAGUUGGGAGGCGUUACCAACAGAAUAAGCACCGGCUAACUUCGUGCCAGCCGCCGCGGUAAUAC